rnacentral:rRNA from 1 species
UACGAAGGGGGCUAGCGUUGCUCGGAAUCACUGGGCGUAAAGCGCACGUAGGCGGAUUUUUAAGUCAGGGGUGAAAUCCUGGAGCUCAACUCCAGAACUGCCUUUGAUACUGGGAAUCUAGAGUCCGGAAGAGGUGAGUGGAACUCCGAGUGUAGAGGUGAAAUUCGUAGAUAUUCGGAAGAACACCAGUGGCGAAGGCGGCUCACUGGUCAGGUACUGACGCUGAGGUGCGAAAGCGUGGGGAGCAAACAGG